rnacentral:tRNA from 2 species
GCCGACUUAGCUCAGGGGUAGAGCGUUUCCUUGGUAAGGAAGAGGUCGUGAGUUCAAAUCUCAUAGUUGGCUC